UCUCUCUCUCAAAAAUAAAUAUUAAAAAAAUUGAAUGUGAGGCAUUUUUAUUAAAAACUUGAUUCAAUUUAUCAAAAUUUGUCAAAAAUAAGCAUUUUGUUUAUAAAUCCACAGCUGGAAGAGAGUGCUUCUAGCCCAGUGGAUCUCAAAGUACAGUCCCUGGACCAGCAUCAUCAACACUGCUUGAUUCUCAAGACCUACCUUAAACCAACUGAAGCAGCAUCUCCAGGGGUAGGGCGCAGUGAGCUGGUGAUUCUGAUCUUCCCACUCAUCUUGACUGCUGUUUACUACUUCCUGCCUGGAAUUCUAGCCAUUUGGUCUAGAGAUGUUCACACCACUAAUUCCUUGAAAAUAUGAACUGUGAAUCAUAUUCCUGUUUGCACUCUACCACGGUUCUGUGCCAGGAAAGCUCAAUAGACACUUCAUCACCAAGUGAUUUGUAGUUAAAUGCAGUCUUACCCAUA